GGUGUAGGCGGGACAUUAAGUCAGAUGUGAAAUAUACAGGCUCAACUUGUAGACGGCAUUUGAAACUGGUGUUCUUGAGUGAAGUAGAGGCAAGCGGAAUUCCUAGUGUAGCGGUGAAAUGCGUAGAUAUUAGGAGGAACACCAGUGGCGAAGGCGGCUUGCUGGGCUUUUACUGACGCUGAGGCUCGAAAGCGUGGGGAGCAAACAGGAUUAGAUACCCUGGUAGUCCACGCUGUAAACGAUGAUUACUAGGUGUGGGGGGAUUGAACCCUUCCGUGCCGCAGUUAACACAAUAAGUAAUCCACCUGGGGAGUACGAUCGCAAGAUUGAA
rnacentral:rRNA from 1 species